rnacentral:rRNA from 1 species
AGCCAUGCAUGGUCUAAGUAUGAACCACUCAUACGGGUGAAACUGGCGAACGGCUCAUUACAACAGUUAUCAUUUACUUGGUCAUUGGAUCUGAUCCUACAUGGAUAACCGUAGUAACUCCAGAGCUAAUACAUGCACAAACUCCCGCGUUUGAUGGGAGGCGUUUAUUAGAUUCAACCAAUCGGCUUUGCCGACCGGGUGAUUCAUAGUAACCGAGCGAAUCGCAUGGCCCCAGUGCCGGCGAUGAACCAAUCAAGUUUCUGCCCUAUCAGCUUUCGUCGGUAGGGUAUUGGCCUACCGAGGCUUCUACGGGUAACGGGGAAUUAGGGUUUGAUUCCGGAGAGGGAGCCUGAGAAACGGCUACCACAUCUAAGGAAGGCAGCAGGCGCGCAAAUUACCCAAUCUCAAUUCGAGGAGGUAGUGACAAGAAAUACCUGUUGACGGCUUCGGCUGUCAAACGGGAAUGAGGACAAUUUAGAAACCUUAUCGAGUAUCCAUUGGAGGGCAAGUCUGGU